rnacentral:lncRNA from 1 species
GCACAGAGCACGGCGAGCGCACCGCGCGGCGGCCGGCCCGCGCCCUUAACCCUUCGCUGCGCGCCGCCCGGGGAGGCGGGCACCUUUCCCAAAGAGUGGCUCGGGAUGGGGUGCGGGGGAGGGGAGACGCGGACCGGAGGGCAAGGUUCCUUCCAGGCGCUCGGAGCAGCAUCUGAGAGGGCUCACUCUGAUCAUCAGCUGCACGUUAAGCCACAAACCGGCGUCGCUUCGGCGUUCCGGAACCCAGGCCUGGGGGCCGCGGGGAUUGCCUCUGCGUGCAACUCCGGAAAGUUUCAAGGGGUCCCCCGACUGCACAGGUCCGGAAAUCGGCUUUGAUAUGGAACUACUCCGCUCUAGCCUGGAAAGGAGACCCGCGCACUCCUCUCGCAGCUAAUUUCGGAUCAUUAAUUUAAUCGGAAAUGAGGUAACCAGUGUAGGAGACAGAGAAAGCAACCGGAGCAUCAAAUGGCAGUUCUCGAGAAUCGACGAGGAACUUAAAUCUGGACUCAGGGUUUCAGUGCGGUCUCCGACUCCCACCACCCCGCCCCUCCGCCUGUCUCGCCGCCAGGUGUGACCUCCACGCGAAGGAAUCUUCUUCGGAUGGGUGCACCUUGCCAACAGGUGUGGCACCUGGAGGACUAGGAGGCGCCUCCAGACUAAGGGCGCUCAGUGCGGCGUUCUUGUUGCAGAUGAUUCUGGAAGGCCGGUAGGUGUCGGGCGACAUUUGACCUUCUUCAGGUGCUUAGAACUAAGUGUCUGGAAACAUGAUCCUUUCGCGUAAGUUUCUUUCUGAAAGCCACCAAUCUUGACUGUAAGCUGUAUUUGAGAGAUCUUUUGGCUGAGUUUACUUAUGACCUAACGGUUAGUCACCAACUGAGGCAGGGCACAGGAUGACCAAAAAAAAAGUGUCAGUUUUUACACAACUCUGGCCUGCAAGAGCCUACGUGCUUCAUAAAUAAAAAUAAACAUACGAGCGAGGAAGGUGCAGAGCCCCGGAAAUAUUUUUUUCUCACAUUUUUGAAAUACCAUGCACAUAUAUGUGGCUAUUUAAGUAUAACUACUAGUGUUCACUCUUACUCAUUUCUACAACUUUUUUUUUUCCAUUUAAAAAUCGAUUAUUGUUACGGUUUAAACCUCGGGUUGGUCUAAAGUGACAUUGUUGGUCUCAUUACAGCCUCUAGUGGACAGUUAACAUCAGUUUCCUGAAAAGGCUCUGACUGGUUUUGUUUUCGUUGACAAGCUUUGUCAAGGUGAAGGUUAGUACGUAAGAGCAUAACCGGGUAAAAUGUCCCCUCACCCCUAUCCUCACCCCCGCCCCCAACACCCUGCUUGGCAAAGACGACUUCAGAAAGGAGCAGAAGCUUGUUGGCUUUAUAUAGAAAAGACGUAUGCUUUGUGCUGCAGGUAUUAUUAUUACUGGACUGUGAAUAAACAGAAAGCUUCUGCUAUUCAUUUCAGUUUCAGACAGCUUUCAUAAAAACUAAAUUCAUCUCAAAUAUUUUUAUAACAGAAAAUAUUGGUUGCCAUGUUUUUGGCUUAACUGCGAUGUUUUUAUUCCAACUCAUAAUCUGCAAACUGUCCAAUCCACCUCCACUCUAUUUUUAGACAUCUUACAUUUAGAUAAUUUUCAGUUAAAAAAAAGCUAAUAUUGUAAUUUUACGUUGGCACAAGCAGUUAAUUUACGUGAUUUUAACAACCUUAAAUUAAAACACAUAAUUCAGAUUACAGUUAGUCAAUUAAUUUAAAUGUUCUCUCAAGGAAGCUAAAUAUGUAUAUUACCCAAAUGGUAAAAACAAUUAAUAAGAAAUGUGUCAUUUACUUUCUUAGCCAUUAAGUUUAAAGCCAUAAACUGCCACCAAAAUCUGUAACUAUUUCUUCCUGCAAGAUCCAACAUAAACACCAUACUCAUGAAA